rnacentral:tRNA from 3 species
GGGCCUAUAGCUCAGGUGGCUAGAGCGCACGCCUGAUAAGCGUGAGGUCGAUAGUUCAAGUCUAUCUAGGCCCACCA